rnacentral:rRNA from 1 species
UACGGAGGGGACUAGCGUUGUUCGGAAUUACUGGGCGUAAAGCGCACGUAGGCGGAUUUGUAAGUCAGGGGUGAAAUCCCGGGGCUCAACCUCGGAACUGCCUUUGAUACUGCAAAUCUCGAGUCCGGAAGAGGUGAGUGGAAUUCCUAGUGUAGAGGUGAAAUUCGUAGAUAUUAGGAAGAACACCAGUGGCGAAGGCGGCUCGCUGGACAAGUAUUGACGCUGAGGUGCGAAAGCGUGGGGAGCAAACAGG